AUAGUAGGGUGCCCUUCAUACCACUUGGUCACAUGAAAUCUGAUCUGUUGUUUACGAACUGUUAGUAGAGCAAUAAAGUCUAGAACUCUCAACGGUUUCUUAGAUUAUUUUUUAAGCUCGUCUUUCCAAAUGGGUUGCUCCUUCUCGCAUCACAUGUGUUGAUCUUUUGAUUUGUCUCUAGGGUUUUGGUCAAGGUCUGUGAUGAUCUCAGGUGAAUUUUGCAAUUUGAAUGGUGGUUUAGGAGUUUUUUUAUUUUUUAUUUUUUAUUUUUAAUGUACUUCUGAGAUUUAAUUGUUGGGUUUUGGAUUCUGAAGACAUGGAGGGAAGGUUUUAAGUCGGGGGAUUAGAUUUGAGUUGGUUUGUUUAGGGUUUGAAGUUUAUACAGGUUAUUAAAGCACCUUUUAAGAAAUUGGCGGAAUUGGGUCUUCACUGGUUUCAUUAAAAUUUUACUGCUAUAUCGUAGAUAAUCCCAGCAAAAUCUCAUAUGCUUAAUUGGGGAGUUCCAGUUAUGGUUUUGGUAUAUUCUAGGGUAAUUUGAGCCUUUUUGUUGAUUAAAACAUUGGCUCUGGUUUCAGAUUCUCUGUUGUUUAAUGGGUUGCUUAAAUUGGGCAAUUUUGAUGUUCUUAGCUGUGGAUUGAUAGAAAAUAUGUAUUUAUGUAAAGUUUUUGAGUGCAUCGUGAGAAAAGAAAAAAAAAUUAGUUGACCUGAAAGAUUGAAGCUUUGCUGUGGUGUUAUGAUAGGAACCUUUGACUGACUGAAGGAUCCAAUCUGUGAACUAUGGAUAGCAACUCCAAGACUAUUGUUUGGUUUAGGAGGGAUCUGAGGAUUGAGGAUAAUCCUGCCCUAGCUGCAGCUGCUAGGGAAGGGUGUGUCCUCCCUCUCUUUAUAUGGUGCCCUAAAGAAGAAGGACAAUUCUAUCCGGGUCGGGUUUCAAGGUGGUGGUUGAAGCAGUCUUUAACUCACUUGGAUCAGUCCCUGAGAUCCCUUGGGGCUGAACUUGUGCUAAUCAAUGCCCAGAACACCCUUGCUGCUCUUCUGGAGUUCAUCGAUACCACAGGGGCAACAAAAGUAGUAUAUAACCAUCUUUAUGAUCCUGUUUCGCUUGUUCGCGAUCACAACAUCAAAGAAAAGCUGGCAGAACUUGGCAUUGCAGUGCAAAGUUAUAAUGGAGAUUUGUUGUAUGAGCCAUGGGAAGUAUAUGAUGAGAAUGGGCAUGCUUUAACAACCUUUGAUACAUACUGGGACAAAUGCUUGAACAUGCAAAAUGAACCUACGACCCAUCUUCCUCCAUGGAGGUUGGUGCCAGCUUCAGGAUUAGCGAAGAAGAAUUCAAUAGAGGAAUUAGGUCUUGAAAAUGAAUCAGAAAAAUCUAGUAAUGCUUUAUUAGGAAGAGGAUGGUGUCCAGGUUGGAGCAAUGCUGAUAAGGCUCUAACUGAAUUUCUCGAACAUCAUCUGGUUGACUACUCAAAGGAUAGGCUAAAGGUUGAAGGGAACUCCACAUCGCUCUUGUCUCCAUAUCUUCAUUUUGGGGAAUUAAGUGUGAGGAAAGUUUUCCAGUGUGUACGAAUGAAGCAGAUACUUUGGGCAAAAGAAGGAAAUUCGGCGGGGAAAGAGAGUGUGACUUUUUAUCUUAGGGCCAUUGGGCUUAGAGAAUAUUCCCGCUAUAUUUGUUUCAACUUUCCAUUUACUCAUGAAAGAUCAUUGCUGAGCAACCUGAAACACUUCCCUUGGCAUGCUGAUCAGGCCCGUUUUAAGGCUUGGAGACAGGGUCGAACUGGUUACCCAUUGGUUGAUGCGGGAAUGAGAGAGCUUUGGGCAACUGGUUGGAUUCACAACAGAAUAAGAGUGAUUGUUUCGAGUUUCUUUGUAAAGUUUUUACUUCUUCCGUGGCAAUGGGGGAUGAAAUACUUCUGGGACACACUUUUGGAUGCUGAUUUGGAAAGUGAUAUUCUUGGUUGGCAAUAUAUCUCAGGGAGCUUACCGGAUGGUCAUGAGCUUGAGCGGAUAGAUAGCCCAGAGGUUCAAGGAUUCAAAUUUGAUCCAGAGGGCGAAUAUGUGAGGGUUUGGCUGCCUGAGCUGGCAAGAAUGCCUACUGAAUGGAUCCAUCAUCCUUGGGAUGCACCCUUCACUGUGCUCAAGGCUGCAGGGGUAGAGUUGGGAUUAAACUAUCCAAAGCCUAUAAUUGAUAUAGAUUUGGCAAGAGAUCAUUUAACAGAAGCUAUAUUCAUUAUGCGGGAAAAGGAAGUGGCUGCAAAGGCUGAUAACUUAAAUGAAACAGGUGAAGAAGUUGUCGAUAAUUCUGAAAGAAUUGAAAAUUUGCCCAUUCCAAAGGUUAUUUUAAAGGAAAAGACUCCUUGCCCCACUAGUUCAUCUCGUGAUCAAAGGGUGCCCUCAAUGCAAAAUUCCAAGAAUGGUCUGCUCAGUAGAAAGAGACCCAAAUGCAUUGUGGAUGAAAGGCCACCACAAGAUAACUUGCAAAGUUGCAAAAAUGAAGCUGAGACCUUGAGAACAGAUGAUGACUUGUGCUCUACAGCUGAAUCCUCUUCAGCUAAGAAGCAGGUGACUAGAAGCAUAAAUACAUUUUCUGUUCCCCAGUCGUAUCCCUCGUCAUCAAAAGGCAACACUUCGCAGGAAUUUCAAUCUUCUGACGUGAAUCAGCUGUGGCAAGAAGUGAUUGACAUGCAACAGAAUUCAAGCAAAGAUGGUGUCAUUGAUUGAUUUAAUGGUAAAAACUCGAGACUUUUAAGCUUUGGAGGGUGAGUUCAGGUCUGGGAUCAGCCACUUUGAAUCAAUAAUACCAAAGGAGCUACGGGAGGUUGAUACUCUUGCAUUAACGAAUUCUGGGGACUGUAUUGUUGAUAAAGAAAGAGGAUCAUUUUGCAGUUGUACUUCUGUGCUUUGGUAUGUCCAUAUUAGACUAAUUCACUUGUAUGUUUUUGCUUGUCAAAAAAAUACUCCUCUUUCAGACAUAUCUGAGGCUAGAGUUUGUUAAACACUGAAUCUAACUUUUUUGUGUAUGUACAUGUUCUAUAUAGAAUUAGUCGGUCAUUUGCGAA